rnacentral:lncRNA from 1 species
GAGAAAUCCUGAUGCCCCGGUGAGGAGUUGUGAGCGGCUGGCGAUUGUCGGCGUUCGGCGAGGCAGAGGGAGGCCUAAGAGGUAUUGGAGAAAGGCGAUUAGGCAUGACAUGGCUAGAAUGCGGGUUUCUGAGGACAUGACUCUUGACAGGAAAGUCUGGAGGUCUAGUAUCAGGGUUGUAGGAUAGGGGCUCCUAGAGUUUUUUGUACUCCUCACCCGGGGUUGGGUGAAGCUUGG